rnacentral:rRNA from 1 species
AUCUUCAGUCAUGUUAUCCUGAAUACGUCAGAUCUCAUCUGAUCUCAGAAGCUCAGCAGGGCUGGGCUUGGUUAGUACUCUCGUAGGAGAGACAAGCUUGAGCCAUUUGGGACG